rnacentral:ncRNA from 2 species
GGUAGAGUAAAUAUUGUGCGUUAAGUGUUAUGGGAUGGGAUGUUGCCCAUAGACGAAGGCGUGUCCGACAAAAGCAGCUACUUUGCGAUUGCAAGCGUUUGCC